UUUCUGGGAAAUGUAGUCCAGCUGCGAUGCCGCGUUUAAGGUACCGGGACUUACAGUUCCGAGACAGGGACUGCUCAGGCGCGUUCCGGGACCCGGCGGAGGAAGGGAAGGCCUGGCUGUCCAGCGGAAUCCGCCUGGACGCACGGAACUCGCGGACCCGACCGGAGCAGCUCUUCGGGCCCUGGCGUGAACCCUUCUCCCAGAGGCACAUGCCCAGAACCCAGCAAUGGCCAAUGGGACCUUGAUGGCCGAGGGCCAGCUUUUCUAAACCCUACCUGGAUAAGGAUAAGAAAUAGAAGGAGGGGACACUUUAGGAUGCUACAAAAUAAAAUACAACAACAACAACAAUAACAGCAGCAGCAACAACAACAACAGCAACAAAAGGGGAAGAAACAAAUCUGGCCACUGCACAUUCCUCCUUGCCAACAAAAAGCCGUGGAUGCAAAAAGCUGCCCUUCACUGCAUAGACAGAACAGGGCGCGCUCGAGCUAUGAAUCUCGGAAAUUACUCAAACCAUCAGCCUCUGCAAGAAGCAAAGUGGACGGCCGGGCGCGGUGGCUCACUCCUGGAAUCCCAGCACUUUGGGAGCCCGAGGUGGGCGGAUCACGAGGUCAGGAGAUCGAGACUGUUCUGGCUAAACCAGUGAAACCCCCUCUCUACUAAAAAAA
rnacentral:lncRNA from 1 species